CAUGUGGAAUGUUUAGAAGUGAGAAUGCCGGUGUGAGUAGCGAAAGAUGGGUGAGAAUCCCAUCCACCGAUUGACUAAGGUUUCCAGAGGAAGGCUCGUCCGCUCUGGGUUAGUCGGGACCUAAGCCGAGGCCGAUAGGCGUAGGCGAUGGAUAACAGGUAGAUAUUCCUGUACCACCUAUGAUUGUUUGAACGAUGGGGGGACGCAGUAGGAUAGGCGAAGCGUGCUGUUGGAGUGCACGUCCAAGCAACAAGACUGAGUGUUAGGCAAAUCCGGCACUCGUAAGGUUGAGUUGUGAUGGGGAGUUGGAUCAUGAAUCCGACGAGUCGUUGAUUUCACACUGCCAAGAAAAGCCUCUAGUUAGAAAAUAGGUGCCCGUACCGCAAACCGACACAGGUAGUCAAGAUGAGAAUUCUAAGGUGAGCGAGCGAACUCUCGUUAAGGAACUCGG
rnacentral:rRNA from 2 species